rnacentral:rRNA from 1 species
UACGUAGGGUGCAAGCGUUAAUCGGAAUUACUGGGCUAAAAGCGUGCGCAGGCGGCUUUGCAGGACAGUUGUGAAAUCCCCGGGCUCAACCUGGGAACUGCAUUUGUGACUGCAUCGCUGGAGUGCGGCAGAGGGGGAUGGAAUUCCGCGUGUAGCAGUGAAAUGCGUAGAUAUGCGGAGGAACACCGAUGGCGAAGGCAAUCCCCUGGGCCUGCACUGACGCUCAUGCACGAAAGCGUGGGGAGCAAACAGG